UCUCCGUUGGUGAACCAGCGGAGGGAUCAUUACUGGAAUCGCAAGAUCCCACAACCCUGUGAACCUACCGAAACGUUGCCUCGGCGGGUGCCCGGCCUCUGCGCCGGGCGCUGCGCCCGCCGGCGGCCCCCUACUCUGUCUCUGCAGCGUGGCAUCUCAGAGUCCCAGAAAACAAGUCAAAACUUUCAACAACGGAUCUCUUGGCUCUAACAUCGAUGAAGAACGCAGC
rnacentral:misc_RNA from 1 species